rnacentral:lncRNA from 1 species
UAACACGUGUUGAUGACACCAACACACAUGGUUUUCAAUUGUGGUUGUAGUUACGCUACAAACUUUUAUAUGACAAACUAAAUGAAAAGAAUAUGAUCAUUAUGGUAUAAAUUUUGGUUGAAAUGUCGUUGCCGUGACUUCAAAAUUUACAAUAUUGCAGUUGCAGACCAUAAUUUAAAACCGCAAUACAUGCAAUUGCAUUAAAAUUACUUCUAUAACUAUUAUCGAUAUUGAUGUGUUAAUAUAGGUUCUUCAUUGCAUUCAGG